AACGAACGCUGGCGGCAGGCUGAACACAUGCAAGUCGAACGCAUCCUUCGGGGUGAGUGGCAGACGGGUGAGUAACGCGUGGGAACGUGCCCUUCAGUUCGGGAUAACCCAGGGAAACUUGGGCUAAUACCGGAUACGUGCGAGAGCAGAAAGAUUUAUCGCUGAAGGAUCGGCCCGCGUCUGAUUAGCUAGUUGGGGGGGUAAUGGCCCACCAAGGCGACGAUCAGUAGCUGGUCUGAGAGGAUGAUCAGCCACAUUGGGACUGAGACACGGCCCAAACUCCUACGGGAGGCAGCAGUGGGUAAUAUUGGACAAUGGGCGCAAGCCUGAUCCAGCCAUGCCGCGUGAGUGAUGAAGGCCUUAGGGUUGUAAAGCUCUUUCGUCCGGGACGAUAAUGACGGUACCGGAAGAAGAAGCCCCGGCUAACUUCGUGCCAGCCGCCGCCGUAA
rnacentral:rRNA from 1 species